rnacentral:rRNA from 1 species
GACGAACGCUGGCGGCGUGCCUAAUACAUGCAAGUUGAGCGCUGAAGGUUGGUACUUGUACCAACUGGAUGAGCAGCGAACGGGUGAGUAACGCGUGGGGAAUCCGCCUUUGAGCGGGGGACAACAUUUGGAAACGAAUGCUAAUACCGCAUAAAAACUUUAAACACAAGUUUUAAGUUUGAAAGAUGCAAUUGCAUCACUCAAAGAUGAUCCCGCGUUGUAUUAGCUAGUUGGUGAGGUAAAGGCUCACCAAGGCGAUGAUACAUAGCCGACCUGAGAGGGUGAUCGGCCACAUUGGGACUGAGACACGGCCCAAACUCCUACGGGAGGCAGCAGUAGGGAAUCUUCGGCAAUGGACGAAAGUCUGACCGAGCAACGCCGCGUGAGUGAAGAAGGUUGUCGGAUCGUAAAACUCUGUUGGUAGAGAAGAACGUUGGUGAGAGUGGAAAGCUCAUCAAGUGACGGUAACUACCCAGAAAGGGACGGCUAACUACGUG